rnacentral:rRNA from 1 species
UACAGAGACUGCAAGCGUUAUUCGGAUUCACUGGGCGUAAAGGGUGCGCAGGCGGCCAAGUGUGUUAGGCGUGAAAGCCUGGGGCUUAACCCCAGAAUUGCACCUAAAACUACAUGGCUAGAGCAUUGGAGAGGGUAGCGGAAUUCACGGUGUAGCAGUGAAAUGCGUAGAGAUGUGGAGGAACACCGAUGGCGAAGGCAGCCCCCUGGGCUAACACUGACGCUCAUGCACGAAAGCGUGGGGAGCAAACAGG